ACGGGUGGAAGUAACACGUGGUAACCUACCUAUAAGACGUGGGAUAACGUACCGGGAAACCGGGGCUAAUACCGGAUAACACAUGAAACCGCAUGGUUUCAUGAUGAAAGNACGGUUUUGCUGUCACUUAUAGAUGGACCCGCGGCGUAUUAGCUAGUUGGUAAGGUAACGGCUUACCAAGGCAACGAUACGUAGCCGGCCUGAGAGGGUGAUCGGCCACACUGGAACUGAGACACGGUCCAGACUCCUACGGGAGGCAGCAGGC
rnacentral:rRNA from 1 species